UACGUAGGGGGGCGAGCGUUGUCCGGAAUUAUUGGGCGUAAAGAGCUCGUAGGCGGUUCGGCAAGUCACGUGUGAAAUCUCCACGCUCAACGUGGAGGCGCCACGUGAGACUGCUGUGACUCGAGUCCGGUAGGGGAGCGUGGAAUUCCCCGGUGUAGCGGUGAAAUGCGUAGAUAUCGGGAGGAACACCAGUGGCGAAGGCGACUACCUGGCCUGUUCUUGACGCUGAGGCGCGAAAGCUAGGGGAGCAAACGGGG
rnacentral:rRNA from 1 species